rnacentral:rRNA from 1 species
UACGUAGGUGGCAAGCGUUGUCCGGAUUUAUUGGGCGUAAAGGGCUCGUAGGCGGUCUGUUGCGUCGGGAGUGAAAACUUACAGCUUAACUGUGAGCGUGCUUCCGAUACGGGCAGACUUGAGGUAUUCAGGGGAGAACGGAAUUCCUGGUGUAGCGGUGAAAUGCGCAGAUAUCAGGAGGAACACCGGUGGCGAAGGCGGAUCUCUGGGCCAUUACUGACGCUGAGGAGCGAAAGCGUGGGGAGCGAACAGG